rnacentral:lncRNA from 1 species
AUUCACGCCUGGAAAACGCUCUUCUGAGAGGAUCUGUGGAGGUCAACCCAGGAGAGAGAAGACAGGACUGAAGCACUGAAAGGGUCCUGCCGUUAAGGGCGCAGGAUUGUAUAGAAUAUAUAAUAGCAGUAGCAGCUCUGUUUACGGAGCAUUAACCUUACGUGGAGUUAUUUCCUGCAUUUCCUCCUUUCGUCUUUACAAGGUAGCCGUUUGGCGUCGUGAGAGAUUGGGUCUCUCCACAUUGCCCCGGCUGCUCUCCAACCCCUGAGUUCAAGUGAUUCACCUCCCUUGGCCUCCCAAAGUACUGGGAUUACAGGCGUGAGCCACCGUGCCUGGCUGAGAAGAUGGAUUUAAGACAUAUUUUGGAGGUAACAUUGUCAGGACUUCCUGAAGGAUUAGAUGUGGAAGGGAAGGAUAAGAAACAGACCAAGGAUAACUUUCAAAUGUAUGCUUAAGCAACUGGAUGGAUAAUGAUGCCAUUGAGUGAGUGAAAAACUUGAUGGAAGUGGAAGAUUCAGAGUUCAUUUCUAUCUAGGUUAAUUUGAGACAUACCAGAGCAUAAGUUAAGUAAGUAAUUGAAUAUUGGAGUGGAGACUUAUUUGUCUACCGAAUUAUUGUUUUCUUUGUCGGACAUACACCUACACUGCAUUCCUCAAAGUAAAAUUUAAGUGUGGCUCUGUGCCUAUGCUCUCCCCAGCGGAAAGUGACCAGAAGAGGUGUGCAGUUUCCAGGCCUGGCCCAUACAGACCUCCAACAGGUGCUCCCCUGUGCUGUUACUCCUUCUGCCAACUGGAAGCAGAUGGUGACCAGGCUCUGGAGAAGGCAAGGCCUGAAGAUGGGAGAUUCCUAAGUGGAGGAGAACUGUGCCUUACUGACCUAAAUAUCCACUCAGUAUUGUUAUGUGAGAAUAAAUAAACUUGUGUUGACCGUUU